GCUGGAGUGCGCACCGAGCGGCAGUGACUUCGCCGCUGCUGUAGUUCCCCGGCUGGAUGCGGUGACUGGUGCCAGUGCUCAGGCGCCCGCUGCCCUUGACCUCCCGCCCCGCGAGCCCUAACUCAGCGCAGGAGGACCGGCUGCCGCCGCCGCCGCCGCCAGGUAGACCAGGCCUGGCUGGGUUAGGCCAGAAGGGUGUCCCUGGCGCAGGUCUCCCGCGGAGGGCAGAACUAGAACCAGGUUCCCGGCCGUUUCCGACCACACGGAUGGGGCGGACCCAUAUCCACACAACUUAAAGAUCUGCUGUCGAGUGAAUGGGGAAGUGGUCCAGAGCAGCAACACCAACCAGAUGGUAUUCAAGACAGAGGACCUGAUAGCCUGGGUGUCCCAGUUUGUUACCUUUUACCCAGGGGAUGUCAUCCUGACUGGGACCCCCCCACCUCCACCCAGGUGUCGGUGUAUUCAGGAAACCUCCUGUCUUUCUCAAGGUCUCUGAAGGUCCAGACAGCACUGAUGGCGAGCUUUGGGUCCGCACACUCUGGAAAGAAGAGAGAAGUGAAGGCUCUAGGGGGCAGCAGCCACCAGCAAACACCACUGCCUGCAGGAGCCUGGGCUGACUGGUUGGGACUCACCGAAGAUCCCUUCUUCCUGGGCGGUGGCCUGCAGGAACUGGAACAGCUGCUCUGUGUAGCCCAACUCUGCAGAAGAGAGAAGACCUAGACCUGGCACCCAGCACAGACACAGCCUGCCUCGAGGACUGCAAGGGAACAAGGGCCUCACCAGUAUCGGGCAGCUGGCCCUGGCGGAGGAAGGCGGCAGCCUGUGCAAAGGCCUUGAGCAGCGGGCUGAGCAGGCGGCAGAGGAAAAGAAAGAAAUCUGGGCAGUGUGACUGCUGGCUGAGCUGGAGGGGACAGGCCGGGGUGAGUGCAGCUCCCCACCGCCUCCCUACCACCUCCCUCCAGGGGCAGCUUUUUGAAACACACCCUGAAGUACCGGCCGUCAGCCUCUCCGAAGUCAUCACUGUCACUAUCAGUAAAGUCCCCACUCGGUUUCCACAGCA
rnacentral:lncRNA from 1 species